rnacentral:rRNA from 1 species
AGUGAACGCUGGCGAUAGGCCUAACACAUGCAAGUCGAACGGCAGCACAGUAAGAGCUUGCUCUUACGGGUGGCGAGUGGCGGACGGGUGAGGAAUACAUCGGAAUCUACUUUUUCGUGGGGGAUAACGUAGGGAAACUUACGCUAACACCGCAUACGACCUACGGGUGAAAGCAGGGGAUCUUCGGACCUUGCGCGAUUGAAUGAGCCGAUGUCGGAUUAGCUAGUUGGCGGGGUAAAGGCCCACCAAGGCGACGAUCCGUAGCUGGUCUGAGAGGAUGAUCAGCCACACUGGAACUGAGACACGGUCCAGACUCCUACGGGAGGCAGCAGUGGGGAAUAUUGGACAAUGGGCGCAAGCCUGAUCCAGCCAUACCGCGUGGGUGAAGAAGGCCUUCGGGUUGUAAAGCCCUUUUGUUGGGAAAGAAAAGCAGCAGGUUAAUACCCCGCUGUUCUGACGGUACCCAAAGAAUAAGCACCGGCUAACUUCGUG